rnacentral:rRNA from 1 species
AACCUGGCCCAUACAGGGGGAUAACACUUAGAAAUAGGUGCUAAUACCGCAUAACAACAGAAAGCGCAUGCUUUUUGUUUGAAAACCAAGGUGGUAUGGGAUGGACCCGCGUCUGAUUAGCUGGUUGGCGGGGUAAAGGCCCACCAAGGCGACGAUCAGUAGCCGGCCUGAGAGGGUGGACGGCCACAUUGGGACUGAGACACGGCCCAAACUCCUACGGGAGGCAGCAGUGGGGAAUAUUGCACAAUGGGGGAAACCCUGAUGCAGCGACGCCGCGUGAGUGAAGAAGUAAUUCGUUAUGUAAAGCUCUAUCAGCAGGGAAGAAGAUGACGGUACCUGACCAAGAAGCCCCGGCUAACUACGUGCCAGCAGCCGCGGUAAUACGUAGGGGGCAAGCGUUAUCCGGAUUUACUGGGUGUAAAGGGAGCGCAGACGGCAGUGCAAGUCUGGAGUGAAAGCCCGGGGCCCAACCCCGGAACUGCUCUGGAAACUGUGCGGCUAGAGUACUGGAGGGGCAGGCGGAAUUCCUAGUGUAGCGGUGAAAUGCGUAGAUAUUAGGAGGAACACCAGUGGCGAAGGCGGCUUGCUGGACAGUAACUGACGUUGAGGCUCGAAAGCGUGGGGAGCAAACAGGAUUAGAUACCCUGGUAGUCCACGCGGUAAACGAUGAAUGCUAGGUGU